rnacentral:rRNA from 1 species
AACGAACGCUGGCGGCAUGCCUAACACAUGCAAGUCGAACGAGACCUUCGGGUCUAGUGGCGCACGGGUGCGUAACGCGUGGGAACCUGCCCUUAGGUUCGGAAUAACUCCCCGAAAGGGGUGCUAAUACCGGAUAAUGUCUUCGGACCAAAGAUUUAUCGCCUUUGGAUGGGCCCGCGUUGGAUUAGCUAGUUGGUAGGGUAAAAGCCUACCAAGGCGACGAUCCAUAGCUGGUCUGAGAGGAUGAUCAGCCACACUGGGACUGAGACACGGCCCAGAAUCCUACGGGAGGCAGCAGUAGGGAAUAUUGGACGAUGGGCGAAAGCCUGAUCCAGCAAUGCCGCGUGAGUGAUGAAGGCCUUAGGGUUGUAAAGCUCUUUUACCCGGGAUGAUAAUGACAGUACCGGGAGAAUAAGCUCCGGCUAACUCCGUG